ACACACACACACACACACACAUUAUGUCUUGUCAUUGAGCCUGGCUGCUUAAUUGCCUUUCAUUAUUUCAACCAGAAAAUGGCACCCAGUGGUGAUACUAGAAAAUUACUCUACUUAUCUCCAUAAAUAGGUGUUACACCAACACAUUUGUAUGAUAAGACAUGCUGAAAUUAAUGUUUGUAGUUCAAAUGGUACAUUGGCAUGGUUGACUAUGCAUUUGCAGCUCAUCUCAUCUAUUUUGUUUGUUUGUUUUCCUACAGGGGCCAGCUCCGGCUCUUUAGCAGGCAUCGUGAGUGCAAUUGCUGUGGCUGUAGUGGGAGCAGUCGUAGGAUACUUCACUUAUCAGAAGAAGAAACUGUGCUUCAAAAAUAGACAGGAACAAGAUCCAGAAGCUGCCCGCAAAGCUGAUCCAGAGGCUCAGUCCAAUCCGCAGGUCCUUAGCAACCUGCUGAACUCCUCCUAGACCAGCAAUGAUCACAUGACUGUCUGAACCAACUACAGGCAAGAAAAGUGGCAAUCUCACUGUCAGGCUCUAUGUUCUGUAGAGCUAAAUUACUGUGAGGCCCCAGACCGUGUGUGUGUGUGUGUGUGUGUGUGUGUGUGUGUGUGUGUGUGUGUAUAUGUGGGAAAUGAGUUGGCUAAGAAAAAGAAAGUAAAUAGAUGUGCAUGUUAGAGGUUUUAUGAUUGUUAAGAUGAUUGGUUAGACUUUCUUCUUUGAACCAAAUCCUACAACUAGACAAGUGGACAUUAAAGAGAUUAAAUCUCAAAUUAAGUGUGACACUGAGAAGGCUAUCGAGUUCUAGUAAUUCAGUAUGGAUAUAAACCAGUGACAGAUAUUGGUGUUGUAAACGUUUAACUUUGUACUGAAUUCUUACAAGUGGAUUUUUUUUAAUUGUCUGAAAAAUCCACUAGUAAGCAGUCACUUAAGUAAAAUAUAUUUUUCUUUUUCAGUGUAAAUGUGUGCAGUAUAAAGGCAGGAUAAAUGGAUAACAGGGGCUACAAUAACUACCACAGUGAUUUCUGGAUUCUGGCUAGGAAAACAGUAUAGGAUUCUAGGGAUGCUGUUACAUGGUCCAAUGUGUGUUGAGUGGGCCAUUGAUGUCACUGUGUGUGUGUGUGUGUGUGUGUGUGUGUGUGUGUGUGCGUGUGUGUUUUUUUUGACUGGUGAAGGGGCUUUGUUUUAAAUCAUGUUGGGUGACUUCCAUUCUUCUUUGUUCAAUAAAUGAACUGAGAGUGAAAUUUUCAAUUAAACACCAAAAAACAAACAAACAAACAAAUGAAACAAACCCACUGCACAUUGAUUCAAGUAUUCAAAAGAUGUCAAAUUAUGUGACAAUAUUAUCCCUUCACUUUUGAAUGCAUAUAUUUUCAAAUUUACUGAGUGGUGAUUUGAUUUGAAGUGAAGUCCAGCCCAACCCUGUUUCUGUCAACAGAUGAAUUUUCACUUGACAUGGACAUACUUCAAAAGCGGUCAUGUAGUAUUGUAUUAGACAUUGUUCUGAUGUAGUACGUGUCAGUCUAGUUGUGAUGCAGUAAAUUCUCCUCUAUAGUGCCUUUCACUGACACAGCCUGGCUUGGCCAAUCUACAGACACACAGGGAAGAGAGCUGAGACAUAAAAAGUGAAAACAGGCAAAAUAGUCGAUGAAUGUAUCACAAUAAAGACAAUUGAGGAAUGUAUGAUCUUAGUUGAUCCAUAAAUUAUCAUUUUGUGUAUAUGAAACUGUUACAUUAUUGUACAUUAUUCCAACUGCUACUGUAUAUCUGUUCACCGUGGGCCAGUUUGCUUUUAACAGCCUACAUUAAUUUCAGCUUUAAAACUCUCAUUGUGUGUCUUUUUAUUUGAGUAAGCCAGUUGCUGUCACAGUGUUUCUUUGUAUUGUUCAUAU